rnacentral:ncRNA from 1 species
CAUCGCGAGGUGGAAUCUGAAGGAAGCUGGCGACAAAUAUCUGACCUAACGGACAGAAACUUUGUAUAAGGCAUGUGACCGUGGAUAAGAUUGCACAACAAAUCAAAGUCCUAUAGCUAUUUGGAACGGUCGGUGUAAAUGAAGUAGGUAUAAGAUUGAAAGACAA